rnacentral:ncRNA from 2 species
ACUAGUGUUGAGUUUCAUUGCAGGGACAAAAUGGUCCCAAGAAAAGAUGAAAGUCCAAAAGAUUAUUACGACUGUAUGGGAUAUUUUUCAACCACUUCUUUUUGGUUUAGUUGGAGCAGAAGUAUCUGUUUCAUCGCUUGAAUCAAAUAUUGUUGGCUGUGUUAGGUCCUCUGGCUCUAGAAACAGCAAGAGUCUCCGCACCCCACUUGGAACCAUAUGCGAAGGAUGUGAUGACAGUAGCAUUUUUAGCCAUCUUGAUCACAGCUCCAAAUGGAGCUCUACUUAUGGGCAUUCUGGGGCCUAAAAUGCUUACACGCCAUUAUGAUCCAAGCAAAAUAAAACUGCAGUUGUCAACAUUAGAACAUCAUUAAAAAGUUUACCUGUCAUCAUC